rnacentral:RNase_P_RNA from 1 species
UGUGAAUUUCGAGUAGGCGCGGCUAGCUUUUGCUAGCUGAGGAAAGUCCACGCACGCACAAGCUGCGAUGCUUGUAGUGAUCGUAUUCAGCUCAAUAAGCUGGAGGAAAGUUAUUUAACUUUUACGGCGGAAAAAGUGCUAAAUCUUUGGACAUGCAUUACUAUCCUGAAAGUGCCACAGUGACGUAGCAAAAUCAGAAAUGAUUUUGGUGGAACGAGGUAAACCCUGCGAGCGUGAAACCCAAAUUUGGUGGGGGAGUUUCGAUCUAAGGAAAUGAACUAAAGAUCGGGUUAUUGCAUUAGCAAUAAAGAUAGAUGACUACUAAUAGUGAUUUUGCCAAGAAUCACUGGAACAAAACGUGGCUUAUAGAAAUUCACACAGG